ACAGAAACAACUUUGACCUCUGAUCUAUGAAUCACGUGUCAGUGUAGAGAGGCUGCAGCCAAUCAGCCUUCAGCAGGUGUUGAUUCCACCCAGCUUCAAGGUGUGUUUGAGACCAGGAAGAAGAGGUGGGAAGAUCGGGUUUCUACAUCCUGCAGAAUAAGCAGCAAAGCUGUAAAUCUAACCUUUGUCUCCUUGUUUACAAUCAAGUUUCUUAAAUAUUUCCUCUGUAAAACUUCUUGUCUCCAUUUCAUUAUUUUCUUAAAGUUAAUUUAGGUUUUGUUUUGUUGAUGCAUCUCAGAAGAAUUUCAAAAAGGAUUUUCCAAACUUCACUGUAAUGAAAUAUUUCUCCUCAGUUCAUAUAAGAAGAGUGUGUUCUUGAUAACAGGGCUUGACAUUAAUUUUAGCAGUGGCGGGUAACACAACCUCUCCGACCAGCCACUUUAACGGGUUGUAAUUAUAUAUAGUUUCUAAUUGUAGUUUUCUCAAAUGGGAUCCGAAAUAAGAAGCAAAUUGAAAUGCGACACUACGACACUACAACUCCCAUGAUCCUCGCCUGCGUACAGUGUUUGCUCUGUAGUCCGUUGAUGACCGACGUCGCUUUAGACAGACGGUCCCUGUGGAGAACACAGUAGUGAAGCGGUGGGGCGGUAAUGUGGAGCUAAUGGUUCUACUUUGUUCACCGCCAGUGUUGCCAAGUCCGCUUAUUAUAGGCGACUUUGGGCUUGUUUUUCUCUAAAGUCGCUUCCAAAUCUCGUGGGUUGCGGUUUUGUGGGCUUGUUUUUGAACGUGAAGUUUGGGCUUGGUAUUUCUUCCAAGUGAAACCCCAUAAUUAUCUCCCAGCUCCCACAAUAAAGUGAAACACAAGUGGUAGAUAGUUUGUUCUUCCCACGCCGCUGUUUCCUGGUUAUAGCUCCCAACACAGCUGACGGAACACCCCGAACACACUCACGUUAGAACCCAGAGUGACGGAACCGAGUGAUGAGACAGCGUCAGAAUGAGAUGCAGUAAAUGUGGAAAAUAUGGGAAACAUUUUCAAACAGAGUGGGAGAAAGAGAGCACACUGCAAGACAGGAUCUGACCUGAGAUGGGAGCCUCUCUUCUGAUUCAGUGUGAAAUAUGUGCUCACCAUAACUUUUCUUUUAAACAGACUUUAAAGAAAGGUUUUUCUUGACUGUUUAUUGUCAUUUUGCUGUUAGGUUUGCAAAAUGCACUUUUUAUCAGUUGUUAUUCAAAGUUAUUCAAAAUGUUUAUGGUAAAAGUGUUAGUAAUAAUUUUGUUGUUGCUUUUAUAUAACGCUAUAAUAAAUGUAUACAUUUAUGCUGUUUACAAGCACCUCUGUUUUUCACAGUGAUGUAAAACCAGUUGUGCUUCUUUUGGGCUUGUUUUGAUAGAGCUGGUUGCUUGUUUCUCUCACGACACCUGGUACCAUUGAUCACUGCACAUUUUCAUAUAAAACAGAACCUUGUCUGAGCUGAAUACUUGAUUUUAUAUAGACUUGAUAUCAUUGUGUAAAAGGGUCAUUUACAUUUAAAAAUGUUGUAAAUCUAGUUAAAGUAAACUUUAGCACACUAUAGUCAGCUUCAAUCAUAUUAAACUAUUUCUCAACAACAAAAUUGUGGCUGGUGAAAAUGCAGAGUGGCUAGAAACUUUGGAAAACCACUGAACAAAAAAGUUAAUGUCAAUCCCUGUUAAUUAUGCUGUGAGCUAUCCCAACAUUUCAUUAAAAUAUGUUCCUUCUUUCAUGAACCUGUUGUUUUACUGCCAUCUUUCCAGCCCUUUAUCCACUUAAUCUGUUGUUCUCCACUGAGCCAUUAAUUCAGUCUUUACUAUUUAACACUUUCUGUAGAGAAAAAGGUGUUUAAAAUAGAACAUGGAGCCUCAUCCUGGACCUUUCUUGGACUCUCAUCUUUUGUCCUGUUAUCAGUACUAAUAUUACAGUUAUUAAUUAAUGUAUACAUAAAGUGGUAUGUAUGUAUUACAUUGAGUAAAACUGUAUUCUUGUUUAAUGAGUUUAGUUUCUAUAUUACAUAUUACAUGUAUUAUUAUUCAGAAAAAUAAAACAGUUAAAUAAUUAAUGAUCCACCUGUGAUUAACUAUGAUUUAUUUCUUAUUAAUUCUGUACUUUUAAACAACCCAGAGCUGAAUGUUUAGGAUCAGAAGAUAUGAAAGAGAAGAGGGAGGCUUACUGUUGAUCUUUCUACUGUGUCUUUCUGGUACCAGGAGAUAUUUUACUGGUUUAUGGAGCAACACCUGGUUCUGUCUGCAUGUAGAACUGGACUACAGGACCGGCUGCAGCCAUGAGAUGCAAUGUGUUGAUCUGAAGGACCUUUUAAUGUGUUUAGUAACUUAAAGAUUAAAUGCUGUAUUUUGACUAAGGUAAAGGAUCAGAUAUUUUUCACAUCAUGAUGCAGAUCCAGCUAGAAGCUCACAGAGAGGUUCUACUGUUUUCUAUCACGGCCAUUUAACUCAUAUGGCUACAUGCUUACUCCACCAGUAGCAAUCCCAGGGUUAUUGCCGAGUACUUUAUUAAUGAAGUGGAAAACAGGAGCGGCUCUCCCACACGGAUCAGGUCAGACCCGGGUACAGAGAACUGUUCAGUGGAGCAGAUGUUUUUAAGAGGAAACCAUUAAGACGAGUUUUCUGAGAGAUGCUACAUUACUGGCUCAAGUAAUCAUAACCAAAGAACUGAACAAUGGUGGAGAUUUUUAAGAAAACACCAUGAACAAUAUUGGAUUAAUGUCUUUCAAGAUUUAAAGGACCAGGAUGAUUUCUCAGGGGACUAUCUCAAUAAAAAUCUAAUACAGUUCACCUGUCUGGAAAUAAUCGAGGUAACCUAAGUCUUUCUGCUUUUUGGUUGAAUUAAGAGAACACUUUGAAUUGGUUGAGUAGAUAAUAAAUUAAUUGUUAACAUCAUGGUUCACUUCAAUUAACUAGACAGUCCUCUGUCUUACAGUAAAGCAAUAAUAUUGAUUGCACACUGCAGUAUAGUUAUUGGAUGCUUUAACAAUUAAUCCUUUCCAUAGCCUAGGCUACUGUUCAUAUUUCUGACAGAACUCUAAUGUGUGGCUAAUAAGGACACAAUCCACUGUCCUUAUUUGCAAAAAUGCAUCCCUGAAUUCAUCUGAAGCUAAAAUUACACUUUAGCAGUCAGUGCUAUACAAUUCCAGGAGAAGCUGUCUUCUAUUUUUACUCUUAAUUCAAUUGUGUUUUUAAAUCCUGUAUCAGUGUGUUUGUAGGAAUAAAGAAGCAGAAAACUUAAGCUCUGCUCGACUCCAUGAUUUAUUCUGCAUCGCCACCUGGUGGCUUGUUUAAGUAUCGCUCCGCCACAGUGACAAUUUAAGGCACAUCACAAAAAAACCUGUUUAUUUUUAAAAACAUUUGGUUUAUUUUAGUAAUAAACGGUACCAUAAUUGACAGUGUUAUUUUGAUGACUUUUUAAUCUCUUUUUAGGUCAUUUUUUAACUAACUGUAUUCACAUAUUUUAUCCUUUACACUUAGGAUAGCAAGAAAAUUAAGAAAUUGUCAGUCUGAGGUUGUUUCAGACCAAAAUGUAGACAAGAACAUGGCAGCAGCAUGUUCAGAGAACAAAUGUUUCAGGAGUCAGUUUACACAUUCCUCACAUGAAGAUCAUUUUUUCAUGUUUCCUCAGUCUAAAUGUUAAGUUAAUUUAUAAUCUGGACUCCUGAACGGAUCAUAAAACAAUUAAAUGUGGUUUAUUGAACAUUGAUCUAUGUUUGUAGACUUUGUUAAUUAAUAACUUGAUUUGUGAAAAUCAGAUUAAUUAAUUUAGUCUCACAGAAACCUGGCUGCAGGAGGAGGAUUAUUUUAAUAAGGCUUGUAGUCAGCACUUACAACUCCGCUGGGAGAAAAACUCCAUAGGAACAAAUGCAGGAGAACACAAGGAGCUCGAGGAGAGACAGGACAUUACACAAGGAACCAACGAGGAGUAUAGAAAACAACCCAGUAAAUAAAGAGGGAGGUGGAGUGUGGACCAAUGAGAGAAGAAGGCAGCAGUGGUGGAAGCAGAGGAUGUUCUUGAUGAAUGAAGGUGAAACCAAACAUCUGAUCUGAUCCAGCAUCACAUGAGACACUCUGAAGGAAAUGUUUCUGCUCUUUAGACGACAAAACUCACAAUUUAUUGUUAGAAUGAAAAGAAAACUUUCCACAUUUCUCUGGAAUCAAGUUGUUUUAUUGAAGAAAUCCAAAGAGACAGAACAGCAGACAUAUAUUUUUCUGAUCUAAAUCUAAAGGAUUCAGAAGAAAACAGCAUCAGUUCUAAGUUGAUGUUAGUUUCAGUUUUCUUCUUUGGAUCACAAUAAAGAAACCAGAAGCAAGUUCAGUUCACUUCAAUCUCAACUGAUUUAAACAAGAACAACAUUUGUUCUGCAGAACAGUGGAAGAGAAACCAGAAGAUCCAAAUACAUCAAUACAAAUAUGAAACCAGAACCAUUAGAGCCCAGAGAAGUUUAGAUUUUCAUGUGGAGAAAUAUUUCUGUGUCAAAUAAGAAUGAAAGAAAACAUCAGCAGUGAAAUCCUUUCUGGUUCCUGGAACACAGACACAGAGAACUACAUUUAAACAAGAACAAUGAAGAA